AGGGGCUAGUCUUACUGUUCAAACUCAGUGUCUUUAAUGGCAGUAGUAGAAGACAAAUGAAGAAAAAGAACAAAGUUUUUUUUUUUUUUUUCAAGAAAUCAGUUUGAAUGCAUUUUUCUCACACUGUUGAAUGACCCUUUGACUUAUUAGGGUUUGUUUGGACCAACUUCAAGUUCUUGGCUAUGGCAUUGGUGCUACUACAUUUUUCUGUUUGCUGGUUUUUUCUUCAAGAAAGGUCAGAUAGUGUAGUCGGAGUAGAGCUUGCUUCAGAAGUUUUGAGGUGUUCAACCGUUAAACCUGGUUGAAUUUUGUUUUCCUCGCCGCGCUUUUCUGGAACAUGUGAACUGUUGUAAGUACAUUGUUCCUUAAGUAGGGGGAAUGAAGCCAUCGGUCCGCGAAGCAUAUCAAGCUUUGUAUCAUAUUUUGACAGAUAGUAGCAAAUGAUUCAUAGUUGAUGAAGUAUUUUUUGCAUAUAUAAGUUGCCCAGAUUUUGUAUUUUCUAGUUUUGACCAUCAUUCAUUCAAUGAAAACCUAAUGCUCAAUUAGUCUUUUGUUUUCA